GACGUAGGUGGCGAACGUUAUCCGGAAUUAUUGGGCGUAAAGGGUGCGCAGAUGGUCUGACAAGUUAGCAGUGGCAAAUCGAGGCUCAACCUCGUGGAAACUGGUAAUACUGUCUGACUCGAGUACAGGAGAGGUUAACGGAACUCCAUGUGGAGCGGUAAAAUGUGUAGAUAUUGGGAAGAACACCGGUGGCGAAGGCGGCUCACUGGCCAGUUUCUGACGCUGCAGCGCGAAAGCGUGGGGAUCAAACAGG
rnacentral:rRNA from 1 species